CCGGAAUGGGAAGCUCGGAGAAGUGCUUAAAGUAGAUCCUCGGGAUAGCUUGGAAUCCCGGGGGCGGCAGAUUUAUCGGCUGGUACCUCGACACCCAGAAUCGGAGGUGACCAGAAAUUUGAAUCCCCGACAACAAUGUUCGAGCAUCGCUCGCAUUCAGAUUGGAGGGGGGAUUCACUCCAUCAGACCCGUCCAAGGUUGCAUGGGUCAUCACUUGUUCGUAUUCGCCGUCUCCAGAACGGCCGACAGGUAGCAAC
rnacentral:lncRNA from 1 species